ACGGCGGGACGGGGUGGAGUAACGCGUGGGUAACCGUACCUCAUACAGGGGGAUAACAGUUGGAAACGACUGCUAAUACCGCAUAAGCGCACAGUACCGCAUGGUACCGUGUGAAAAACUCCGGUGGUAUGAGAUGGACCCGCGUCUGAUUAGCUAGUUGGUGGGGUAACGGCCCACCAAGACGACGAUCAGUAGCCGACCUGAGAGGGUGACCGGCCACAUUGGGACUGAGACACGGCCCAG
rnacentral:rRNA from 1 species